rnacentral:rRNA from 1 species
GCAGUCGACGAACUCUUCGGAGUUAGUGGCGGACGGGUGAGUAACACGUGGGAACGUGCCUUUAGGUUCGGAAUAACUCAGGGAAACUUGUGCUAAUACCGAAUGUGCCCUUCGGGGGAAAGAUUUAUCGCCUUUAGAGCGGCCCGCGUCUGAUUAGCUAGUUGGUGAGGUAAAGGCUCACCAAGGCGACGAUCAGUAGCUGGUCUGAGAGGAUGAUCAGCCACAUUGGGACUGAGACACGGCCCAAACUCCUACGGGAGGCAGCAGUGGGGAAUCUUGCGCAAUGGGCGAAAGCCUGACGCAGCCAUGCCGCGUGAAUGAUGAAGGUCUUAGGAUUGUAAAAUUCUUUCAGUAGGGACGAUAAUGACGGUACCUACAGAAGAAGCCCCGGCUAACUUCGUGCCAGCAGCCGCGGUAAUACGAAGGGGGCUAGCGUUGCUCGGAAUUACUGGGCGUAAAGGGAGCGUAGGCGGACAUUUAAGUCAGGGGUGAAAUCCCGGGGCUCAACCUCGGAAUUGCCUUUGAUACUGGGUGUCUUGAGUGUGAGAGAGGUAUGUGGAACUCCGAGUGUAGAGGUGAAAUUCGUAGAUAUUCGGAAGAACACCAGUGGCGAAGGCGACAUACUGGCUCAUUACUGACGCUGAGGCUCGAAAGCGUGGGGAGCAAACAGGAUUAGAUACCCUGGU